UUAAGCGACUAAGCGUACACGGUGGAUGCCCUGGCAGUCAGAGGCGAUGAAGGACGUGCUAAUCUGCGAUAAGCGUCGGUAAGGUGAUAUGAACCGUUAUAACCGGCGAUUUCCGAAUGGGGAAACCCAGUGUGAUUCGUCACACUAUCAUUAACUGAAUCCAUAGGUUAAUGAGGCGAACCGGGGGAACUGAAACAUCUAAGUACCCCGAGGAAAAGAAAUCAACCGAGAUUCCCCCAGUAGCGGCGAGCGAACGGGGAGCAGCCCAGAGCCUGAAUCAGUGUGUGUGUUAGUGGAAGCGUCUGGAAAGGCGCGCGAUACAGGGUGACAGCCCCGUACACAAAAAUGCACAUGCUGUGAGCUCGAUGAGUAGGGCGGGACACGUGGUAUCCUGUCUGAAUAUGGGGGGACCAUCCUCCAAGGCUAAAUACUCCUGACUGACCGAUAGUGAACCAGUACCGUGAGGGAAAGGCGAAAAGAACCCCGGCGAGGGGAGUGAAAAAGAACCUGAAACCGUGUACGUACAAGCAGUGGGAGCCUCUUUAUGGGGUGACUGCGUACCUUUUGUAUAAUGGGUCAGCGACUUAUAUUCUGUAGCAAGGUUAACCGAAUAGGGGAGCCGAAGGGAAACCGAGUCUUAACUGGGCGUUAAGUUGCAGGGUAUAGACCCGAAACCCGGUGAUCUAGCCAUGGGCAGGUUGAAGGUUGGGUAACACUAACUGGAGGACCGAACCGACUAAUGUUGAAAAAUUAGCGGAUGACUUGUGGCUGGGGGUGAAAGGCCAAUCAAACCGGGAGAUAGCUGGUUCUCCCCGAAAGCUAUUUAGGUAGCGCCUCGUGAAUUCAUCUCCGGGGGUAGAGCACUGUUUCGGCAAGGGGGUCAUCCCGACUUACCAACCCGAUGCAAACUGCGAAUACCGGAGAAUGUUAUCACGGGAGACACACGGCGGGUGCUAACGUCCGUCGUGAAGAGGGAAACAACCCAGACCGCCAGCUAAGGUCCCAAAGUCAUGGUUAAGUGGGAAACGAUGUGGGAAGGCCCAGACAGCCAGGAUGUUGGCUUAGAAGCAGCCAUCAUUUAAAGAAAGCGUAAUAGCUCACUGGUCGAGUCGGCCUGCGCGGAAGAUGUAACGGGGCUAAACCAUGCACCGAAGCUGCGGCAGCGACACUAUGUGUUGUUGGGUAGGGGAGCGUUCUGUAAGCCUGCGAAGGUGUACUGUGAGGUAUGCUGGAGGUAUCAGAAGUGCGAAUGCUGACAUAAGUAACGAUAAAGCGGGUGAAAAGCCCGCUCGCCGGAAGACCAAGGGUUCCUGUCCAACGUUAAUCGGGGCAGGGUGAGUCGACCCCUAAGGCGAGGCCGAAAGGCGUAGUCGAUGGGAAACAGGUUAAUAUUCCUGUACUUGGUGUUACUGCGAAGGGGGGACGGAGAAGGCUAUGUUGGCCGGGCGACGGUUGUCCCGGUUUAAGCGUGUAGGCUGGUUUUCCAGGCAAAUCCGGAAAAUCAAGGCUGAGGCGUGAUGACGAGGCACUACGGUGCUGAAGCAACAAAUGCCCUGCUUCCAGGAAAAGCCUCUAAGCAUCAGGUAACAUCAAAUCGUACCCCAAACCGACACAGGUGGUCAGGUAGAGAAUACCAAGGCGCUUGAGAGAACUCGGGUGAAGGAACUAGGCAAAAUGGUGCCGUAACUUCGGGAGAAGGCACGCUGAUAUGUAGGUGAAGCGACUUGCUCGUGGAGCUGAAAUCAGUCGAAGAUACCAGCUGGCUGCAACUGUUUAUUAAAAACACAGCACUGUGCAAACACGAAAGUGGACGUAUACGGUGUGACGCCUGCCCGGUGCCGGAAGGUUAAUUGAUGGGGUUAGCGGUAACGCGAAGCUCUUGAUCGAAGCCCCGGUAAACGGCGGCCGUAACUAUAACGGUCCUAAGGUAGCGAAAUUCCUUGUCGGGUAAGUUCCGACCUGCACGAAUGGCGUAAUGAUGGCCAGGCUGUCUCCACCCGAGACUCAGUGAAAUUGAACUCGCUGUGAAGAUGCAGUGUACCCGCGGCAAGACGGAAAGACCCCGUGAACCUUUACUAUAGCUUGACACUGAACAUUGAGCCUUGAUGUGUAGGAUAGGUGGGAGGCUUUGAAGUGUGGACGCCAGUCUGCAUGGAGCCGACCUUGAAAUACCACCCUUUAAUGUUUGAUGUUCUAACGUUGGCCCCUGAUCGGGGUUGCGGACAGUGUCUGGUGGGUAGUUUGACUGGGGCGGUCUCCUCCUAAAGAGUAACGGAGGAGCACGAAGGUUGGCUAAUCCUGGUCGGACAUCAGGAGGUUAGUGCAAUGGCAUAAGCCAGCUUGACUGCGAGCGUGACGGCGCGAGCAGGUGCGAAAGCAGGUCAUAGUGAUCCGGUGGUUCUGAAUGGAAGGGCCAUCGCUCAACGGAUAAAAGGUACUCCGGGGAUAACAGGCUGAUACCGCCCAAGAGUUCAUAUCGACGGCGGUGUUUGGCACCUCGAUGUCGGCUCAUCACAUCCUGGGGCUGAAGUAGGUCCCAAGGGUAUGGCUGUUCGCCAUUUAAAGUGGUACGCGAGCUGGGUUUAGAACGUCGUGAGACAGUUCGGUCCCUAUCUGCCGUGGGCGCUGGAGAACUGAGGGGGGCUGCUCCUAGUACGAGAGGACCGGAGUGGACGCAUCACUGGUGUUCGGGUUGUCAUGCCAAUGGCACUGCCCGGUAGCUAAAUGCGGAAGAGAUAAGUGCUGAAAGCAUCUAAGCACGAAACUUGCCCCGAGAUGAGUUCUCCCUGACUCCUUGAGAGUCCUGAAGGAACGUUGAAGACGACGACGUUGAUAGGCCGGGUGUGUAAGCGCAGCGAUGCGUUGAGCUAACCGGUACUAAUGAACCGUGAGGCUUAACCUU
rnacentral:rRNA from 1 species